rnacentral:rRNA from 1 species
GAUGAACGCUGGCGGCGUGCCUAAUACAUGCAAGUCGAGCGAACAGACGAGGAGCUUGCUCCUCUGACGUUAGCGGCGGACGGGUGAGUAACACGUGGAUAACCUACCUAUAAGACUGGGAUAACUUCGGGAAACCGGAGCUAAUACCGGAUAAUAUAUUGAACCGCAUGGUUCAAUAGUGAAAGACGGUUUUGCUGUCACUUAUAGAUGGAUCCGCGCCGCAUUAGCUAGUUGGUAAGGUAACGGCUUACCAAGGCAACGAUGCGUAGCCGACCUGAGAGGGUGAUCGGCCACACUGGAACUGAGACACGGUCCAGACUCCUACGGGAGGCAGCAGUAGGGAAUCUUCCGCAAUGGGCGAAAGCCUGACGGAGAAAAGCCGCGUGAGUGAUGAAGGUCUUCGGAUCGUAAAACUCUGUUAUUAGGGAAGAACAAAUGUGUAAGUAACUAUGCACGUCUUGACGGUACCUAAUCAGAAAGCCACGGCUAACUACGUG